CCUACGGGAGGCUGCAGUCGAGAAUCAUUCACAAUGGGGGAAACCCUGAUGGUGCGACGCCGCGUGGGGGAAUGAAGGUCUUCGGAUUGUAAACCCCUGUCAUGUGGGAGCAAAUUAAAAAGAUAGUACCACAAGAGGAAGAGACGGCUAACUCUGUGCCAGCAGCCGCGGUAAUACAGAGGUCUCAAGCGUUGUUCGGAAUCACUGGGCGUAAAGCGUGCGUAGGCUGUUUCGUAAGUCGUGUGUGAAAGGCGCGGGCUCAACCCGCGGACGGCACAUGAUACUGCGAGACUAGAGUAAGGGAGGGGGAACCGGAAUUCUCGGUGUAGCAGUGAAAUGCGUAGAUAUCGAGAGGAACACUCGUGGCGAAGGCGGGUUCCUGGACAGUAACUGACGCUGAGGCACGAAGGCCAGGGGAGCGAAAGGGAUUAGAUACCCUGGUAGUC
rnacentral:rRNA from 1 species